AUUGAACGCUGGCGGCAUGCCUUACACAUGCAAGUCGAACGGCAGCACGGGAGCAAUCCUGGUGGCGAGUGGCGAACGGGUGAGUAAUAUAUCGGAACGUGCCCAGUCGUGGGGAUAACGUAGCGAAAGCUACGCUAAUACCGCAUACGAUCUACGGAUGAAAGCGGGGGAUCGCAAGACCUCGCGCGAUUGGAGCGGCCGAUAUCAGAUUAGGUAGUUGGUGAGGUAAAGGGCUCACCAAGCCGACGAUCUGUAGCUGGUCUGAGAGGACGACCAGCCACACUGGGACUGAGACACGGCCCAGACUCCUACGGGAGGCAGCAGUGGGGGAAUUUUGGACAAUGGGCGCAAGCCUGAUCCAGCAAUGCCGCGUGCAGGAUGAAGGCCUCGGUUGUAACGUAGCUUUUGUUGUCGGAACGAAACGGUAGGA
rnacentral:rRNA from 1 species